rnacentral:lncRNA from 1 species
GGGAUGUCAUUGGCUGCUCAGCAGUCGCCUUUAUGCACUGAGCCAUCUAGCUGUCCCUGUUUUUUUUUUUAAAUCAAUGUUCUUAGGAAUUAUUAAACCAAACUGUAUUUCGUGGCUUGUUACAUAAUAUCUCUCUUUGCAAGCUUAUUAAAGUGACCUGCAUUAUAAACAGCUUCCUUUAAAAUAGAUAUAAUCUAGCGUUUCAGUGAAAUAAGCCAAUUUCAGUUUGGCAGAAAAACCAGAUGAUCCAAUGGAAUGUCAGCCAUGUUCCAGUCCAUUACUAACCAACUUCCAGUGCCCUUCUUCCUCUCAGCAGAUCUGGCCUCCACUGAUGCAAACCUUUCUGCUUGCUCCCUCAGUCUGCUACACAGUCAAAUAACACACAAUAUAGAGAGAAUAACGUGCCAUUUCCAUACCUGUUGGCCAGUCACCUGGAAUGUCUCCUCUGCAUGCAUGCACGUUAUCUCGAGGGGUUCUGUGCCGGAUACAUGCCGCAACAGUCGACAUGUCUGCAAGAAAACAUUUCUACGGGUCACCUUCCACACCCUCAUCCUUCUCACGAUUCUACGUUUACAAACCUAAGAAUGAAUCUGUACAUGACUGAACACCAAAGCAGGA